rnacentral:rRNA from 1 species
UAACGCGAAGAACCUUACCAAGGCUUGACAUACACCGGAAACGGCCAGAGAUGGUCGCCCCCUUGUGGUAGGUGUACAGGUGGUGCAUGGUUGUCGUCAGCUCGUGUCGUGAGAUGUUGGGUUAAGUCCCGCAACGAGCGCAACCCUCGUUCUAUGUUGCCAGCGCGUUAUGGCGGGACUCAUAGGAGACUGCCGGGGUCAACUCGGAGGAAGGUGGGGAUGACGUCAAAUCAUCAUGCCCCUUAUGUCUUGGGCUUCACGCAUGCUACAAUGGCCGGUACAAAGGGCUGCGAUACCGUAAGGUGGAGCGAAUCCCAAAAAGCCGGUCUCAGUUCGGAUUGAGGUCUGCAACUCGACCUCAUGAAGUCGGAGUCGCUAGUAAUCGCAGAUCAGCA